rnacentral:rRNA from 1 species
GACGAACGCUGGCGGCGUGCCUAACACAUGCAAGUCGAACGCGCCUGUCCUCUGGGUUUCUGGGGGGUGGGUGAGUGGCGAACGGGUGAGUAACACGUGAGUAACCUGCCCCCUUCUUCGGGAUAACGGUCUGAAAGGGCUGCUAAUACCGGGUAUUCACUGGUCUCCGCAUGGGGUCUGGUGGAAAGGUUUUUUUCUGGUGGGGGAUGGGCUCGCGGCCUAUCAGCUUGUUGGUGGGGUGAUGGCCCACCAAGGCUUUGACGGGUAGCCGGCCUGAGAGGGUGACCGGUCACAUUGGGACUGAGAUACGGCCCAGACUCCUACGGGAGGCAGCAGUGGGGAAUAUUGCACAAUGGGCGCAAGCCUGAUGCAGCGACGCCGCGUGAGGGAUGGAGGCCUUCGGGUUGUGAACCUCUUUCGCCCGUGGUCAAGCCGCGACGUGGGUCGUGGUGAGGGUAGUGGGUAAAGAAGCGCCGGCUAACUACGUG